UUUAUGCUAAUAAAGUGACUUAGGGUGGGGUCCCUAGAUAGCCUCGGGGUGGCUCUGGUCACCAGAAAGACUAAGUGAUCAAAGGGCUGAAACUUUCAGCCCCACCCACCAACCUCCAGGAAAUGAGGUAAGAGGGGCUAGAGAUUAAGCACUGCAAAAACUCUUCAACAAAAGCAUUUGAUGCGCUUCCAAACUGGUGAACACUUUUACAUGUUGCUCCUGUGCCGGAGACUUUUCCAGACCCUGCCCUAUGUACAUCUUCAUCUGGCUGUUCAUCUGUAUCCUUUAAAAUAAACCAGCAAAUGCAGUGAAGUGUCUUUCUUAGUUCUGUGAGCUGUUCCAGCAAAUGAUUGAACCUGAGGAUGGAGUUGAGGGAACUCCCUAUUUAGUGGGGGUUGAUAGCAGUACUUCAAUCAGAAGUACGGGGACCAGUAUAGGACUUGUGACCAGCAUCCGAAGUGGGGAGCAGUAUGUAGGACUGAACCUUUAAGCUGAGCCAGAAUUGAAUUGAAUUGUUAAACACCCAGGUGGUGUCAGGUGAAUUGGAGGGUUGGUUGUUGAUUUUGGAAAAAGAGCCUUAAAAAUUUUAAAGUAAGGGAAAGUGGACUAUUAAAAGGAGAAUGGAGUUAUUGGAAAAGGUAUCUGCACAAAUGUCACCUGUUCAGAGAGACCUGGAUUGACCAUUCUUCAUGAGGACAGGAACAUCAUCUGUUUUGUUUGCUGCUAUAUCCUCAGAAGCAAGGGCUCAAAAAUAUUUACUGGAUGAAAGAAUAAAUAGAUAAUGAAUGAACAAGAUGGAAUACUAUGCAACCAUAAAAAAAGAACAGAAUAAUGCCAUUUGCUGCAACAUGGAUGGACCUGGAGAUUGUCAUUUUAAGUAAGUAAGCCAGAAAGAGAAAGAAAAAUUGCAUAUGAUAUCACUUAUACAUGAAAUAAAAAUAAAUAAAUAAAUAAAAAACCACAAAUGAACUCACUUCUAUAUCUAUCAAUGUGAGCCUUCAGAUGAGACCGUGUUGAUUACAAUCUUGUGAGAACUUUUGAAGGAGAAGUUGCUGACCCAC